AUUGAACGCUGGCGGCAGGCCUAACACAUGCAAGUCGAGCGGAUGAAGGGAGCUUGCUCCUGGAUUCAGCGGCGGACGGGUGAGUAAUGCCUAGGAAUCUGCCUGGUAGUGGGGGAUAACGUCCGGAAACGGGCGCUAAUACCGCAUACGUCCUGAGGGAGAAAGUGGGGGAUCUUCGGACCUCACGCUAUCAGAUGAGCCUAGGUCGGAUUAGCUAGUUGGUGGGGUAAAGGCCUACCAAGGCGACGAUCCGUAACUGGUCUGAGAGGAUGAUCAGUCACACUGGAACUGAGACACGGUCCAGACUCCUACGGGAGGCAGCAGUGGGGAAUAUUGGACAAUGGGCGAAAGCCUGAUCCAGCCAUGCCGCGUGUGUGGAGAAGGUCUGCGGAUUGUAAAGCACUUUAAGUUGGGAGGAAGGGCAGUAAGUUAAUACCUUGCUGUUUGGACGUGACCAACAGAAUAAGCACCGGCGAACUUCAU
rnacentral:rRNA from 1 species